UGCGAGACCUUCGGGUCUAGCGGCGGACGGGUUAGUAACGCGUGGGAACGUGCCCUUCUCUAUGGAAUAGCCUCGGGAAACUGAGAGUAAUACCGUAUACGCCCUUCGGGGGAAAGAUUUAUCGGAGAAGGAUCGGCCCGCGUCUGAUUAGAUAGUUGGUGGGGUAAUGGCCUACCAAGUCUACGAUCAGUAGCUGGUUUUAGAGGAUGAUCAGCAACACUGGGACUGAGACACGGCCCAGACUCCUACGGGAGGCAGCAGUGGGGAAUCUUAGACAAUGGGCGAAAGCCUGAUCUAGCCAUGCCGCGUGUGUGAUGAAGGCCUUAGGGUCGUAAAGCACUUUCGCUGGGGAAGAUAAUGACUGUACCCAGUAAAGAAACCCCGGCUAACUCCGUGCCAGCAGCCGCGGUAAUACGGAGGGGGUUAGCGUUGUUCGGAAUUACUGGGCGUAAAGCGCGCGUAGGCGGAUUAGAAAGUUGGGGGUGAAAUCCCGGGGCUCAACCUCGGAACUGCCUCCAAAACUACUAGUCUAGAGUUCGAGAGAGGUGAGUGGAAUUCCGAGUGUAGAGGUGAAAUUCGUAGAUAUUCGGAGGAACACCAGUGGCGAAGGCGGCU
rnacentral:rRNA from 1 species